ACACGCCGUACAUUUACCACAAGGGAACUGGAAGUAACAUUAUUAUUAUUAUUAUUUAUAAACGUUAUGUAUUGAUAUCACACGCUUAGGCAUUGACUAAAAAGUAAACCUCGUUCAAAUCUGUUGAGGAAUGAGCAAGUUACGAUUUAAUUUCAAUGUCCAUGCAUUGCGUUUGACGGGAACGUCGACCUUUUCAACAUGGCCGCCACGUAGGCACGUCAGUUAUCCGAGAUGAUCCAUCGGGCUAGAUUAUCUCGUACUGUAUAUAUGUCGAUAGACUUCCAGUGACGCAAUGUUAGCAAAUAUAAGUGAUGUGACGUACUCGAAUCCAGUACUUGUAUGAAAUACACACCUUAUUGAAUACAACCACAAUAGACAGCAAGAAUAUAGACUAUAUAGGGGCGAACAGUCUACGUAAAUGUAAACAAAAAUAUGGAAACGAAAGGGACUCCAGAAUGUUUCCUGAAUUUAAAUUGCAGUCUUUAGAGGGUCUUCUGGUCCGAAGGGCCUUGGGAUGCAAAUAAGAAUUUAUGUACAGCAGUAAUAUUUUGAACACAAGAUUAGUCCGCUGAUUUGCAAAGCCACGCCCACGGGAGGAUUGGCGUGACGUCCUGGAGUGUCACGGAUCACGUGACCAUUGUGUUUGUAGCACUUGCAGUUUGUCCCAAUGGACACAGACUAUGCCGAACAAACCUCACCGUAGAACGGUACGACUUCUGUCCGAGUCCGAGUGGACUCGCUAGUUUGGCCACGUUGGUGUUUGUGAGUCGAGGAAAGAGCUAAACGUCCUUCGUCUUUCCGCUACUCAAAGGCGCUAGCUUGUGCUUAGCUGACUUUUUAUUACGAGAGGCAUUCGGUACUAUAGCGCUUUAGCAGCGUUAGCCUAACCGGUAAAGGCAUUAGUUAACCUUAUCGUAAACUACAAUGCCCAAGUGAAGUAUCGAUAGAAACGUCGUUCGUGUGUGGUCCGUUUAGCUCCGUUUUUCGAAGGUGUCAUGCCCGGAGUGGCGAGGACUCGGGAGUUAAUCUGUUUGAAUGAGUUUAAAUUGGCAUGCGCAGGCUGCUGCUAGCUAGAGUUCACUGGGGUUGAUUCCGUGUGAUAUUCGCCAGUUGGUCCGCGUCACUAGCCAGGAUGCUCCCCAGCCUGGUCCACAGACCGUGGCAGGUCUUCUUCAGGGUCUCCUGGAGGCACAGAUCGAGGCUCCCACAGCCGUGCCUCGGGUGGAAAACCGGGAGCACAUUUAGCUCGUGCCUCAGACCUCCGGACUGUCGAGUUGCCGCGCCGGGAGCGACCGAGGUCCACUUCUACUCCACCUUUGGAAACGGCAAAGAUGGACCUCCAAGAUCUCCGUCGGAUUCCACUGAAAAAGUGACCGCAAAACCCAACGUAGCAGCAACAGGUUCUGCGCUUAAGGGGCUCACUAAAGCAGAGACCAUUCAAGUGAAAGUCCGGGCCGUCCUGAAGAAGCGUGAAUAUGGCGCCAAGUACACGCAGAAUAACUUCAUCACGGCUGUCCGAGCCAUGAAUGAAUUCUGUCUUAAACCGAGUGACCUGGAGCACCUUCGCAAGAUCCGAAGACGCAGCCCCCACGAUGACACUGAGGCCUUCACUGUGUUCCUGCGCUCGGACGUCGAGGCGAAAGCUCUGGAUGUGUGGGGAAGCCAAGAAGCUCUGGCCAGGGAGAGAAAUCUCCGGAAGGAAGUGGAGAGAGAGUACGAAGAAAAUAUCUUUCGUAGUCAGCAGCUGUUGAAGGAAUACAAAGACUUCUGGGGAAACACAAAGCCUCGAUCAGGCAAAAGGACAACAUUUCUACAAGGCCCAGGCAAAGUGGUUAUGGUCGCCAUUUGCAUAAAUGGGCUGAACUUCUUUUUCAAGCUGCUGGCAUGGGUCUACACUGGUUCAGCAAGCAUGUUCUCAGAGGCCAUCCACUCUUUAGCCGACACCUGCAAUCAAGCCCUGCUGGCUCUGGGCAUCAGCCAGUCUGUACGGAACCCUGAUGCUGGGCACCCGUAUGGCUUCUCCAACAUGCGCUACAUCGCGUCCCUCAUCAGCGGCGUGGGCAUUUUCAUGAUGGGCGCCGGGCUCUCCUGGUACCAUGGUAUUAUGGGACUGCUGCACCCGGAGCCUAUUGAGUCUUUAUUAUGGGCAUACUGCAUUUUGGCGGGUUCUCUGGUGUCUGAAGGAGCCACACUACUGGUAGCGAUCAAUGAGAUAAAGAGAAGUGCCCAAAACCACAGACUUUCCUUUUAUGAAUAUGUAAUGCAGAGUCGAGACCCAAGCACCAACGUGGUGCUACUUGAGGACACCGCCGCUGUGCUCGGGGUCAUUAUGGCUGCAAGCUGCAUGGGACUCACCUCGUUGACAGGUAAUCCGUACUAUGACAGCCUGGGCUCGCUGGGAGUGGGAACGCUACUCGGCACCGUCUCGGCCUUCCUCAUCUACACCAACACGGAGGCGCUGCUGGGACGCUCCAUACAGGCCGAGCGCGUCCAGAAACUCACAGAGAUCUUAGAGAACGACCCCGCUGUGAGAGCCAUCCAUGACGUGAAGGCCACCGAUUUGGGAUUGAGCAAAGUGCGCUUUAAGGCGGAAGUCGACUUCGAUGGCCGAGUGGUGACACGCUCUUAUCUGGAAAAGCAAGACAUCGACCAAAUCCUCAAUGACAUUCAGCAGGUGAAGACGCCGGAAGAGCUGGAGAACUUCAUGCUGAAACAUGGUGAGAACAUCAUCGACACCCUGGGUGCUGAGGUGGACCGCCUGGAGAAAGAACUCAAGCAACGUAACCCAGAGGUCCGCCAUGUAGACCUGGAGAUCUUAUAAUAACACUGACGUGACGUGGAAGAACCUGCAAGAUGAAGAAGAGCCAAAAGGACACGCAGGCUUGCAUCUGCUGUCCACUUUGCAUUCCUAACUAAAAGCUCCACCCCCUCACAGGCCUCCGUGCAACAACACUUGAACAUUAUUGUGACAAGUUAACGCUCCCGCAAGGCCGCAGUCCAUUCUCGUUACAGGAAGUGCACUUGAGGGCUUUGAAGGAGUCCGUGAAGCAGUUGCGGAACACAGACAUCUUGCUGCCAUGGCACGUUGGGCAAGGGACGAAGGCGAAGCCCCCGCAGCUCUGGCACGUCUCAGGGUGCUGCACCCGCUGGAGGCAAGAACCAUAACAUGGGAGUAGGCGUCCAAUUUAGUUAAGUAUCCAGCACGCUCCACAAACCAUGUCGUAUCCAUCGAUUCGCAAUUUACCGUUGCGAUACUCAAAAUACUCAUGAAAGCAGAAGCCCUGAUACAACUCUACCUAAAGUCUCUGUAAAGUAAAAAUAAUUAUCCUAUCUCUAAAUUUGCUCGUUCAACGAACUUUUUCCCGAUCGAAAUCCAUUCGUCAGCGGGACUUUGCUUCCUGAUCAAAACAACUGAUCAAAACAAAAUCUGCCAAAGUUGCUAGUGGGAAUGCUGAAAUUCACCCACAUUUGGGUGUUGUUAAGCCUUGAACAUUAGGCAGAAAUAAAGUUAAAGAGUCGUUUGCAAUGUAUUUAUUUUAAAAUGAGAGUAUCUACAGUAUGUAUCACUGAGAUAUAAAAAGAACAACAGUAUAAAAUGGCUCAUAAGAAAGUAGUAAUGGGCCAUUUUUGCAGUCGGCUCACAGUGUUGUCACCUGAACCCCCCAUGGUGGACGUGACUCGCACUUCACAAGUUAUAUGUCAGUGGUAUCGGUGUCGUAGUACUUGACCAUUUUCUCGAUUACGUGUACGUAAAGUAUCGGCACCACUAUCGGUAUCGCUCCAUCCAUAUUUUAAGAUGCUUACGUGGGCACUUCAAAAUAUUUUUAAGGGGAAUUUUCGCUAUUCCCGUCAGGGCUUGGUCCCUAACCUCCACGAAUAGCAACAGUUCUUUACCAAUAUAAUCGUCUCAAUUUAUUUAUCAUUAGGUUUAUUAUUUUAGUUGUAUUUUCGAUUUGCCUGGUGGUAUAUGUAUAUUGUGGUCGUCUAGCUUGUAUUUUACUGUGGUGUACUUUUGCACUGUAUCAGAAUGGGGGGAGUUGUUUUUAUAUUUUUGCCCCCCUUAUUCAGUUACAUAAAAGGGUUAAAAUAUUAUUUUGACAAAAUUAUGAGUUUCCAAUCACACACUCCGCUCAAAUGAAACUGUUA